UGGGGAAUUUUGGACGAUGGGCGCAAGCCUGAUCCAGCCAUGCCGCGUGCAGGAUGAAGGCCUUCGGGUUGUAAACUGCUUUUGUACGGAACGAAAAGGUGCCUUCUAAUAAAGGGCGCUCAUGACGGUACCGUAAGAAUAAGCACCGGCUAACUACGUGCCAGCAGCCGCGGUAAUACGUAGGGUGCGAGCGUUAAUCGGAAUUACUGGGCGUAAAGCGUGCGCAGGCGGUUUUGUACGACAGAGGUGAAAUCCCCGGGCUCAACCUGGGAACUGCCUUUGUGACUGCAAGGCUGGAGUGCGGCAGAGGGGGAUGGAAUUCCGCGUGUAGCAGUGAAAUGCGUAGAUAUGCGGAGGAACACCGAUGGCGAAGGCAAUCCCCUGGGCCUGCACUGACGCUCAUGCACGAAAGCGUGGGGAGCAAACA
rnacentral:rRNA from 1 species